rnacentral:rRNA from 1 species
AAAAAAAAAAACACGUGGAUAACCUACCUAUAAGACUGGGAUAACUUCGGGAAACCGGAGCUAAUACCGGAUAAUAUAUUGAACCGCAUGGUUCAAUAGUGAAAGACGGUUUUGCUGUCACUUAUAGAUGGAUCCGCGCCUCAUUAGCUAGUUGGUAAGGUAACGGCUUACCAAGGCAACGAUGCGUAGCCGACCUGAGAGGGUGAUCGGCCACACUGGAACUGAGACACGGUCCAGCAGCCUACGGGAGGCAGCAGUAGGGAAUCUUCCGCAAUGGGCGAAAGCCUGACGGAGCAACGCCGCGUGAGUGAUGAAGGUCUUUUUUUUUU